AAGUCAAACUGCUCUUCUUGGACAGUUUGCAGGGUUCUUAGCUGAAUCUGGUCAUGUACCUCAAGGAGACAUUCCAGGAUCUAGCCACCAAGAAGCUGAUUGGUGAAGGUCACUACCUAAAUGGGCUGUACUAUUUUUCAGAGGACCUCAAUGUUCCAAAGGGAUUCCAAGUCAGCUCAAACCUAGAACAUCGGUUGUGGCAUCAACGCCUAGCACAUCCCUCAGAAUCUGUGUUGUCUACGUUGUUCCCUAGUUUAUGCAAAUCCUCCCUUGUAUGUGAAAUUUGUCAUUUGUCAAAAUCUACUAGACUCCCAUUCAAUU